rnacentral:rRNA from 1 species
AACGAACGCUGGCGGCAGGCUUAACACAUGCAAGUCGAGCGCCCCGCAAGGGGAGCGGCAGACGGGUGAGUAACACGUGGGAACGUGCCCAAAGGUACGGAACAACUCCGGGAAACUGGAGCUAAUACCGUAUGUGCCCGAGAGGGGAAAGAUUUAUCGCCUUUGGAUCGGCCCGCGUCUGAUUAGCUAGUUGGCGGUGUAAUGGACCACCGAGGCGACGAUCAGUAGCUGGUCUGAGAGGAUGACCAGCCACACUGGGACUGAGACACGGCCCAGACUCCGACGGGAGGCAGCAGGGUGGAAGAUUGGAGAAUGGGCGCAAGCCUGAUCCAGCCAUGCCGCGUGAGUGAUGGAGGCCUUAGGGUUGUAAAGCUCUUUCGCCGAGGACGAUAAUGACGGUACUCGGAUAAGAAGCCCCGGCUAACUUCGUGCCAGCCGCCGCGGUAA